rnacentral:rRNA from 1 species
AGCAGCCGCCGCGGGAAUACGAAGGGGGCUAGCGUUGUUCGGAAUUACUGGGCGUAAAGCGCACGUAGGCGGAUAUUUAAGUCAGGGGUGAAAUCCCAGAGCUCAACUCUGGAACUGCCUUUGAUACUGGGUAUCUUGAGUAUGGAAGAGGUGAGUGGAAUUCCGAGUGUAGAGGUGAAAUUCGUAGAUAUUCGGAGGAACACCAGUGGCGAAGGCGGCUCACUGGUCCAUUACUGACGCUGAGGUGCGAAAGCGUGGGGAGCAAACAGGAUUAGAUCCCCCGUAGUCCCUGUCUCUUAUACA